rnacentral:rRNA from 1 species
GCGGCAGGCCUAACACAUGCAAGUCGAACGGUAACAGGGAUUGCUUGCAAUCCGCUGACGAGUGGCGCACGGGUGAGUAACGCGUAUGCAAUCUGCCUUUAACUGAGAGAUAGCCCAGAGAAAUUUGGAUUAAUACCUCAUAAUAUUGUGAUUUGGCAUCACUUCACAAUUAAAGCUUCGGCGGUUAAAGAUGAGCAUGCGUCCUAUUAGCUUGUUGGUAAGGUAACGGCUUACCAAGGCAACGAUAGGUAGGGGGCCUGAAAGGGUGAUCCCCCACACUGGUACUGAGACACGGACCAGACUCCUACGGGAGGCAGCAGUGAGGAAUAUUGCGCAAUGGAGGAAACUCUGACGCAGCCAUGCCGCGUGCAGGAAGACGGCCCUACGGGUUGUAAACUGCUUUUAUAUAGGAAGAAACACCGAUACGUGUAUCGGCUUGACGGUACUAUAUGAAUAAGGACCGGCUAACUCCGUGCCAGCAGCCGCGGUAAUACGGAGGGUCCAAGCGUUAUCCGGAUUUAUUAGGUUUAAAGGGUCCGCAGGCGGGAUUUUAAGUCAGUGGUGAAAGCCUACAGCUCAACUGUAGAACUGCCAUUGAUACUGAAAUUCUUGAGUGUGGUUGAAGUGGGCGGAACAUGUCAUGUAGCGGUGAAAUGCAUAGAUAUGACAUAGAACACCAAUUGCGAAGGCAGCUCACUAAGCCAUUACUGACGCUGAGGGACGAAAGCGUGGGGAGCGAACAGGAUUAGAUACCCUGGUAGUCCACGCCGUAAACGAUGAUCACUCGUUGCUAGCGAUACACUGUUAGUGACCAAGCGAAAGUGUUAAGUGAUCCACCUGGGAAGUACGUUCGCAAGAAUGAAACUCAAAGGAAUUGACGGGGG